rnacentral:rRNA from 1 species
GAUGAACGCUGACAGAAUGCUUAACACAUGAAAGUCAACUGUGGCGGACGGGUGAGUAACGCGUAAAGAACUUGCCUCACAGUUAGGGACAACAUUUGGAAACGAAUGCUAAUACCUGAUACUGUGAGAGAGCUUUGCGUCCCAUUGGCUAGUUGGAGAGGUAACGGCUCACCAAGGCGAUGAUGGGUAGCCGGCCUGAGAGGGUGAUCGGCCACAAGGGGACUGAGACACGGCCCUUACGCCUACGGGGGGCAGCAGUUAGGAAUAGUGGACAAUGGACCAAAGUCUGAUCCAGCAAUUCGGUGUGCACGAUGAAGUUUUCGGAAGGUAAAGUGGUUUCAGUUGGGAAGCGGUACCAACAGAAGAAGUGACGGCUAAAUACGUGCCAGCAGCCGCGGUAAUAC